rnacentral:rRNA from 1 species
AUGGGGAGCUCCGGCGGAGUCUUUGCAUGGAUAAGGUGGCGCUGCACCUGUGAGAGACAGAGGGAAGGAGAGGGCGCGAGAAGCAGCGGGGAAGUUCUGGUGGUGCCCGUCUCCUGCAACAGCUCUCUUGAGUACGCCCAGAGAGAGAUGAGAGAGAGCCAGGAGGAAGAAGGAAAGGAAGGAGACUUCAGGAAGGGGCGGCGGGAUCCUGCAGGGCUGGGUUGGAGCCCCGUGGUAGCUUGCUCUGGUGGUGCUACUACUGCUGUUGGACGGCAGCUGAUGGGACAAGGCCUAGGUAAGAGGAAAACCAUGUGUUGCAUCGACACAUUUGAUGCAGAGCGGCCACUGUAG